rnacentral:misc_RNA from 1 species
UAACAAGGGGCUAAAACCCUCACAUACCAAUUGAGUUCAACAACCUAAAUUAAACCCAAGCAAGGAAAAUCAAAGGAAACUAAGAACCGCAAAUGGGUAACCCUUCGAUUAAUCAAACCAAAAGAAGCUAAAUAUCAAUUCUAAGAGUUAACCACUGAUCACCCACUAAUUCCUUUAGGGAAUUACACUAAGCACUAAAGCUAGCAACUAGAAUUCGAGAGUAUUCAACUUCAACUUCAAACAUUCAACAUACUAAGUCUUCCAAAUGACAAAUGACUACUAUUACACUAAGGAAAUAAAGAAGUCACUUUCUUUACAAUUUUACGCAUAAUGAG